rnacentral:rRNA from 1 species
GUUCGCCUACGGGGGGCAGCAGUGGGGAAUAUUGCACAAUGGGGGAAACCCUGAUGCAGCGACGCCGCGUGAGUGAAGAAGUAUUUCGGUAUGUAAAGCUCUAUCAGCAGGGAAGAAAAUGACGGUACCUGACUAAGAAGCCCCGGCUAACUACGUGCCAGCAGCCGCGGUAAUACGUAGGGGGCAAGCGUUAUCCGGAUUUACUGGGUGUAAAGGGAGCGUAGACGGCAGGGCAAGUCU